GACGAACGCUGGCGGCGUGCCUAAUACAUGCAAGUUGAGCGCUGAAGGUUGGUACUUGUACCAACUGGAUGAGCAGCGAACGGGUGAGUAACGCGUGGGGAAUCUGCCUUUGAGCGGGGGACAACAUUUGGAAACGAAUGCUAAUACCGCAUAAAAACUUUAAACACAAGUUUUAAGUUUGAAAGAUGCAAUUGCAUCACUCAAAGAUGAUCCCGCGUUGUAUUAGCUAGUUGGUGAGGUAAAGGCUCACCAAGGCGAUGAUACAUAGCCGACCUGAGAGGGUGAUCGGCCACAUUGGGACGGAGACACGGCCCAAACUCCUACGGGGGGCAGCAGUAGGGAAUCUUCGGCAAUGGACGAAAGUCUGACCGAGCAACGCCGCGUGAGUGAAGAAGGUUGUCGGAUCGUAAAACUCUGUUGGUAGAGAAGAACGUUGGUGAGAGUGGAAAGCUCAUCAAGUGACGGUAACUACCCAGAAAGGGACGGCUAACUACGUG
rnacentral:rRNA from 1 species